UAGAUUUGUCUGAAGUCCAACUUUGUAAAGAUUGACCAAAUAUAUAUAAAAAAUAUCAACAUCUACAAUACCAGAUAAAAAUAAAAUGAAAAUAUAUUUCAUGAUGGAUCUAAUGAUAUUGAUUUUGUAGUGUGCAUGUCAAUAAUUUUUUGUAUAAAUUUGGUCAAACUUUGGAGAGUUUGACUUCACACAAAUCUAA
rnacentral:pre_miRNA from 1 species